rnacentral:lncRNA from 1 species
AUGCCCCUCCAGUGCGCCAGCUCGUCGUGGUCCCUCCCCUGCGUCGUCCUCCUGCUGCCGGUGCACCUGCUAAGCCCUGCUGCCUCCCUUGUGUUGCCGUAUGGAUGUCCCCGGCGAGCUUAUCCCCUGACCGCCGCGGAACCGACCCGGAGCCAGCUAUAAAUAGCCUCUCUAGAGGCUGCUACGUGCGCCAUCCCUCUCCUCGAGCCAUAGGAAGCUCCUCCCGAGGAGCAGCUCAACCAGAUCCCCUUUCUCCCCUCACCUCCGGCCAAAGCCCCGUCAUGCCCGAAGCCUUCCGCACUUGGGGAGGUC